GGGGCCUUAGCUCAGCUGGGAGAGCACCUGCUUUGCAAGCAGGGGGUCGUCGGUUCGAUCCCGACAGGCUCCACCAUUUGAGUGAAACGACUUUGGGUCUGUAGCUCAGGUGGUUAGAGCGCACCCCUGAUAAGGGUGAGGUCGGUGGUUCGAGUCCUCCCAGACCCACUCUUGAAUGUAGUGCACACUUUAAGAAUUUAUAAUGGCUCAGCCGUUGAGGCUGAGACAUGUUCUUUUAUAACUUGGUGACCGUAGCCGAGCGUUUGAGAUAUCUAUCUAAACGUGUCGUUUGAGGCUAAGGCGGGGACUUCGAGUCCCUAAAUAAUUGAGUCGUAUGUUCGCGUUGGUGGCUUUG
rnacentral:tRNA from 1 species